GACGAACGCUGGCGGCGUGCUUAACACAUGCAAGUCGAGCGGAAAGGCCCUGCUUUUGUGGGGUGCUCGAGUGGCGAACGGGUGAGUAACACGUGAGUAACCUGCCCUUGACUUUGGGAUAACUUCAGGAAACUGGGGCUAAUACCGGAUAGGGGCUCCUGCUGCAUGGUGGGGGUUGGAAAGUUUCGGCGGUUGGGGAUGGACUCGCGGCUUAUCAGCUUGUUGGUGGGGUAGUGGCUUACCAAGGCUUUGACGGGUAGCCGGCCUGAGAGGGUGACCGGCCACAUUGGGACUGAGAUACGGCCCAGACUCCUACGGGAGGCAGCAGUGGGGAAUAUUGCACAAUGGGCGGAAGCCUGAUGCAGCAACGCCGCGUGCGGGAUGACGGCCUUCGGGUUGUAAACCGCUUUCGCCUGUGACGAAGCGUGAGUGACGGUAAUGGGUAAAGAAGCACCGGCUAACUACGUG
rnacentral:rRNA from 1 species